AGUUGUAUCCUGGCUCAGGACGAACGCUGGCGGCGUGCCUAAUACAUGCAAGUCGAGCGGAGGAAUGGGAGCUUGCUCCCAUUUCUCAGCGGCGGACGGGUGAGUAACACGUGGGCAACCUGCCCUGCAGACUGGGAUAACUCCGGGAAACCGGAGCUAAUACCGGGUAAUACAUAGCAUCGCAUGAUGCAACGUUGAAAGUUGGCUUUCGAGCUAACACUGCAGGAUGGGCCCGCGGCGCAUUAGCUAGUUGGUAAGGUAACGGCUUACCAAGGCCACGAUGCGUAGCCGACCUGAGAGGGUGAUCGGCCACACUGGGACUGAGACACGGCCCAGACUCCUACGGGAGGCAGCAGUAGGGAAUCUUCCGCAAUGGACGAAAGUCUGACGGAGCAACGCCGCGUGAGUGACGAAGGCCUUCGGGUCGUAAAGCUCUGUUGUUAGGGAAGAACAAGUACCGUUCGAAUAGGGCGGUACCUUGACGGUACCUAACCAGAAAGCCACGGCUAACUACGUGCCAGCAGCCGCGGUAAUACGUAGGUGGCAAGCGUUGUCCGGAAUUAUUGGGCGUAAAGCGCGCGCAGGCGGUCUCUUAAGUCUGAUGUGAAAGCCCACGGCUCAACCGUGGAGGGCCAUUGGAAACUGGGGGACUUGAGUGCAGAAGAGGAGAGUGGAAUUCCACGUGUAGCGGUGAAAUGCGUAGAUAUGUGGAGGAACACCAGUGGCGAAGGCGGCUCUCUGGUCUGUAACUGACGCUNANGCNCGAAAGCGUGGGGAGCGAACAGGAUUAGAUACCCUGGUAGUCC
rnacentral:rRNA from 1 species